rnacentral:pre_miRNA from 1 species
CAUCUACUCCCUCCGUUCCGAAUUACUUGUCGUAGGUAUGGAUGUAUCUAGAUGUAUUUUAAUUCUAGAUACAUCCAUUUCUGUGACGAGUAAUUUGGAAUGGAGGGAGUAGUUU